GACGAACGCUGGCGGCGUGCUUAACACAUGCAAGUCGAACGGUAAGGCCCUUCGGGGUACACGAGUGGCGAACGGGUGAGUAACACGUGGGUGAUCUGCCCUGCACUUCGGGAUAAGCCUGGGAAACUGGGUCUAAUACCGGAUAGGACCACUGCCUGCAUGGGUGGUGGUGGAAAGCUUUUGCGGUGUGGGAUGGGCCCGCGGCCUAUCAGCUUGUUGGUGGGGUGAUGGCCUACCAAGGCGACGACGGGUAGCCGGCCUGAGAGGGUGACCGGCCACACUGGGACUGGGAUACGGCCCAGACUCCUACGGGAGGCAGCAGUGGGGAAUAUUGCACAAUGGGCGCAAGCCUGAUGCAGCGACGCCGCGUGAGGGAUGACGGCCUUCGGGUUGUAAACCUCUUUCAGCACCGACGAAGCGCAAGUGACGGUAGGUACAGAAGAAGGACCGGCCAACUACGUGCCAGCCGCCGCAGUAA
rnacentral:rRNA from 1 species